rnacentral:hammerhead_ribozyme from 1 species
AUCCAACUGAUGGGUCUCAAAUAAGACGAAGCGUAUGUCUUGGAU